rnacentral:rRNA from 1 species
GAUGAACGCUGGCGGCGUGCCUAAUACAUGCAAGUCGAGCGAACGGACGAGAAGCUUGCUUUUCUGAUGUUAGCGGCGGACGGGUGAGUAACACGUGGAUAACCUACCUAUAAGACUGGGAUAACUUCGGGAAACCGGAGCUAAUACCGGAUAAUAUUUUGAACCGCAUGGUUCAAACGUGAAAGACGGUCUUUCUGUCACUUAUAGAUGGAUCCGCGCUGCAUUAGCUAGUUGGUAAGGUAACGGCUUACCCAGGCAAGGACGGAUAGCCGUCCUCAAAGGGAGGUCGGCCACACGGGAAGUGAGACACGGUACAGACUCCUACGGGAGGCAGCAGUAGGGAAUCUUCCGCAAUGGGCGAAAGCCUGACGGAGCGACGCCGCGUGAGUGAUGAAGGUCUUCGGAUGGGAAAACUCUGUUAUUAGUGGAAAACAUAUGUGUAAGUAACUGUGCACAUCUUGACGGUACCUAGUCAGAAAGCCACGGCUAACUACGUG